AGUUGAUUCAGUCGACCCUGGUAAACAGCGGCCUUUCUGUUUCAGCCUGCAGUGUCUGGGCCAGUGCAAGCUUCAGAUAGACUUAUGAAAGGGCUCAGGGACAUAUACAGAUCACAGAGUUAUAAGACAAGUUGACCCUGAUAGUCCUUUGCACAGUGAUCUUCAGAUCUUAAAAGAAAAACAAGGGAUAGGAGACAUUUUGCUUAUCUUUUAAGGUAUGUAUUGGAUGGAGGAGCACUAUGUAUGGAACCUCUCACAAAACAGGGCUGAAGCAGUGCCUACUCGAUAGAAUCAGUCAUCAUGCAGAUAAAUGCCAAAUGAGUCAAAGGCAAAGCCAACGUGCAGCUUGGAGCAAAGAAGGUACUUUUAUUAAGAAUUUGAUAUAAACCCUAAGAUAAAUUUUAUAUUACUUUGUGAACCUUCUU
rnacentral:lncRNA from 1 species